rnacentral:rRNA from 1 species
GACGAACCGUCCAAACGUUGUUCGGAAUCACUGGGCUUAAAGGGCGCGUAGGCGGACUGCCAAGUCCGGGGUGAAAUCUUUCGGCUUAACCGGAAAAGGGCCUUGGAAACUGGCGGUCUCGAGGGAGGUAGGGGCCUGUGGAACUUCGGGUGGAGCGGUGAAAUGCGUUGAUAUCCGAAGGAACGCCGGUGGCGAAGGCGACUACCUGGCCUGUUCUUGACGCUGAGGCGCGAAAGCUAGGGGAGCAAACGGG